rnacentral:rRNA from 1 species
UACAGGGGGUGCAAACGUUGCUCGGAAUCAUUGGGCGUAAAGAGCGUGUAGGCGGCCCGGUAAGUCCGCCGUGAAAGUCCAGGGCUCAACCCUGGAAUGCCGGUGGAUACUGUCGGGCUAGAGUCCGGAAGGGGCGAGUGGAAUUCCUGGUGUAGCGGUGAAAUGCGCAGAUAUCAGGAGGAACACCAAUGGCGAAGGCAGCACUCUGGGACGUGACUGACGCUGAGACGCGAAAGCGUGGGGAGCAAACAGG